rnacentral:rRNA from 1 species
CCUACGGGAGGCACCAGUAGGGAAUCUUCCGCAAUGGGCGAAAGCCUGACGGAGCAACGCCGCGUGAGUGAAGAAGGAUUUCGGUUCGUAAAGCUCUGUUGUUAGGGAAGAAUGAUUGUGUAGUAACUAUACACAGUAGAGACGGUACCUAACCAGAAAGCCACGGCUAACUACGUGCCAGCAGCCGCGGUAAUACGUAGGUGGCAAGCGUUGUCCGGAAUUAUUGGGCGUAAAGCGCGCGCAGGUGGUUUAAUAAGUCUGAUGUGAAAGCCCACGGCUCAACCGUGGAGGGUCAUUGGAAACUGUUAAACUUGAGUGCAGGAGAGAAAAGUGGAAUUCCUAGUAUAGCGGUGAAAUGCGUAGAGAUUAGGAGGAACACCAGUGGCGAAGGCGGCUUUUUGGCCUGUAACUGACACUGAGGCGCGAAAGCGUGGGGAGCAAACAGGAUUAGAUACCCUUGUAGUC